rnacentral:rRNA from 1 species
UACGAAGGGGGGCUAGCGUUGCUCGGAAUCACUGGGCGUAAAGGGUGCGUAGGCGGGUCUUUAAGUCAGGGGUGAAAUCCUGGAGCUCAACUCCAGAACUGCCUUUGAUACUGAGAUCUUGAGUUCGGGAGAGGUGAGUGGAACUGCGAGUGUAGAGGUGAAAUUCGUAGAUAUUCGCAAGAACACCAGUGGCGAAGGCGGCUCACUGGCCCGAUACUGACGCUGAGGCACGAAAAGCGUGGGGGAGCAAACAGGA